UACGGGGGGGGCAAGCGUUGUUCGGAAUUACUGGGCGUAAAGGGCUCGUAGGCGGCCAACUAAGUCAGACGUGAAAUCCCCAGGCUCAACCUGGGAACUGCGUCUGAUACUGGUUGGCUUGAAUCCGGGAGAGGGAUGCAGAAUUCCAGGUGUAGCGGUGAAAUGCGUAGAUAUCAGGAGGAACACCGAUGGCGAAGGCAGGUCUCUGGGCUGACACUGACGCUCAUGCACGAAAGCGUGGGGAGCAAACAGG
rnacentral:rRNA from 1 species